GCUGAAGGCAGGCACCAAACCGCUGAGCCAUCCAGGGAUCCCCAAGAUUUAAUUUUUAGGCCACUCAAAAGGAUCACCAGAGACAUUUGAACUACGAACAAGAAAAAUCCAUCAGAUUGCUGCUGCCUGCCACCACUCCAUCUGAGGUGCUUCAAACCUGACAUCUAAAAAUCUUCUCACUGGGGACUCACACAGUGAUUGAUAAUCUGCUUCUACCAUUAACUGUUUUUCUUUUGUUUCCAUACAAAUGCCUCUUAUUAAUUACCUGAUUGCUGGCUGAACAAGGCAGAGUCAUAUGGCUAACACCACUUGCUAUACCUAUAUCAACUCCUCCUGGGAAAUAUGGAUCCAAAUAAUAAAAAUCAAACAGCAA